rnacentral:rRNA from 1 species
AGGAAAAUGGGCGCAGCUGAUGCAGCCACGCCGCGUGAGUGAUGACGUCUAUGGGUUGUAAGCUUCUUUUUGUAGGGACGAAGCUUUUUUGACUUGUCCUGUAUUGAAAGUACCGUUUCACUACGGAACGGCUAACUCUAUGCUAGCAGCCGCGGUAAUAAAAAAAA